rnacentral:rRNA from 1 species
GACGAACGCUGGCGACGUGCUUAACACAUGCAAGUCGAACGGAAAGGCCCUGCUUUUGUGUGGUGCUCGAGUGGCGAACGGGUGAGUAACACGUGAGUAACCUGCCCUUGACUUUGGGAUAACUUCAGGAAACUGUGGCUAAUACCGGGUAGGAGCUCCUGCUGCAUGGUGGGGGUUGGAAAGUUUCGGCGGUUGGGGAUGGACUCGCGGCUUAUCAGCGUGUUGGUGGGGUAGUGGCUUACCAAGGCUUUGACGGGUAGCCGGCCUGAGAGGGUGACCGGCCAAAUCGGGCCUGAGAUACGGCCCAGACUCCUACGGGAGGGAGCAGUGGGGAAUAUUGCACAAUGGGCGGAAGCCUGAUGCAGCAACGCCGAGUGCGGGAUGACGGCCUUCGGGUUGUAAAACGCUUUCGACGUGACGAAGCGUGAGUGACGGUAAUGGGUAAAGAAGCACCGGCUAACUACGUG